UGGGGAAUUGUUCGCAAUGGGCGCAAGCCUGACGACGCAACGCCGCGUGGAGGAUGAAGAUCUUCGGGUCGUAAACUCCUUUCGAUCGAGACGAAUGGCCUCUGGGUGAACAGCCCGGAGGAGUGACGGUACCGAGAGAAGAAGCUCCGGCUAACUCCGUGCCAGCAGCCGCGGUAAUACGGGGGGGGCAAGCGUUGUUCGGAAUUACUGGGCGUAAAGGGCUCGUAGGUGGUCAACUAAGUCGGACGUGAAAUCCCUCGGCUUAACCGGGGAACUGCGUCCGAUACUGGAUGACUUGAGUUCGGGAGAGGGAUGCGGAAUUCCAGGUGUAGCGGUGAAAUGCGUAGAUAUCUGGAGGAACACCGGUGGCGAAGGCGGCAUCCUGGACCGACACUGACGCUGAGGAGCGAAAGCCAGGGGAGCAAACGG
rnacentral:rRNA from 1 species